CCAUGAAAAUACUCGACAACGGCGAUUAUCUUUUAUAGAUUAUAUAUCUGGAAUCGAUGCGUCCAGAUACGCGUCAGAUAUUGAUAUGGCAACGACUACGGCAACGUCAACGACACCCCCAAUUCCGUUGACAUACAACAACUUCAAUCGCCCAGGGUCAUCAUUAUCUUCGCGGCAACAACUUCCCCCAACAACGAUUUCUCGAUCGAUGUCCACCCGUGUAUCACCCAAUUCAGGCGCAUCCAGUUUCCACAGCUCCUUUUUCCCAAUGUCAAGAACACGUUCCUUUUCCAUUGGAGACAGCUCUGAUGAUGAUUUCCCGGAGCCCAUCAAAUUUAGCGCAUCUGUCAAGGCGUUAUUAGGAGAGGAGGAUGGGUCAAAUUAUGAUAUCUCCCCGCGCAGUGGAAGCAAUGUGGAUCAAAUCCAGAAAGCAGCCAUGAGUAUGAAUGGUGAACUACGCUCGUUACAUUCACUGCAGGAGAAGCAGGUGCGCAUUGCGUCGCCAAGAGAACAGGCCACGGGGAGCCCGUCUCCUAGAAUUGUGAGAGUCAAUUCUCCUCGCGUUUCCCCAAGAACAUUAGGUAGAGAGAGCCCC
rnacentral:sRNA from 2 species